rnacentral:sRNA from 1 species
AGCCCCGUUCAAAGGCUCCGCCGCUGCCAGGAGCGUCCUUCUGCAAGUGUCAUCCCGCGAUCAUGGCCAACGCGUGACCUGCCGCGCCCACAGCGCCGAGCUCCACGAAACCACCGUCCAGAGUUCCUGGGGGAGCAGGUGCUGGUGGUGACCGCGGUGGAGCAGGGCGAGGCGUUGCUGCCCGUGUCCGUGUCCGCUAACCCCGCCCCCGAGGCCUUCAACUGGACCUUCCGCGGCUAUCGCCUCAGUCCAGGUGAGGGAAGUGGGCAUGGGGAGGGGUCCCGGGGAUGGGAGGCCCUGUCAGGUCCCUUAUUCUGGCCUUCCCCAGCGGGCGGCCCCCGGCAUCGCAUCCUCUCCAGCGGGGCUCUGCAUCUGUGGAAUGUGACCCGCGCGGACGACGGCCUCUAUCAGCUGCACUGCCAGAACUCCGAGGGCACCGCGGAAGCGCUGCUGCGGCUGGACGUGCACUGUGAGCCCCGCCCACCAUGAAAACCACACCCACCCAAGGAAUCUUGCCCAAUGUGGAGUCUCCUCAUUGUGGGAGCUCCGCCCACCCAGGGACAGCCACUCAUCCUGGAACCCUCCCGUUCUGGAAGUCCCAGCCGCGGUGUAACCACGCCCACUGCGGAACCCCUUCCACUAGAGAGACCCAGUGUGGAAUCUCUGCCCAGAGACGGUGUCCGCCUAGACACGGAAGCUGCUCCCGUCAGGAAUGGGAGCCCACUGUAUAAGCCCCCCUACACACACAAUUCUGGAAGCCCACCCAACCCACUCUAAUUAUCACAGAGGCAUAGUGGAGGGUGGAGACAACCUCACCAACCUUGAGAACUCUCCUCCAACUCUUUGAUAUUAAGGGCAGAUUGUGUCCACACCCAUAACUUUCGUGGAACCCCUAAGACAUCCCUCCCACCUGGGGCCCUCUCACACGGAGAGCUGUCUGGGCCCAAGUGCCUUCCCCAAGCCUCUGCCUUCCACCAGAUGCUCCCACCAUCCGUGCCCUCCAAGACCCCACUGAGGUGAACGUCGGGGGUUCUGUGGACAUAGUCUGCACUGUUGACGCCAAUCCCAUCCUCC